rnacentral:misc_RNA from 1 species
CAACCCUCAGGCCCGGCCUGGUGUUGGGGCUCCUGCGCACCGCAGGCCCUCAAAGGCAGCGGCGGGUGCGCCCGCGGACCGAACGCAGUAGUCUCCUCUCGUUCGGGCCGCGCGGGCGCGCUCCGGCCGUCAAAACCUAGCACUUUCUCCAGU